UACGUAGGGUGCAAGCGUUGUCCGGAAUUAUUGGGCGUAAAGAGCUCGUAGGCGGUUAGUCGCGUCUGCUGUGAAAACUCGGGGCUUAACUCCGGGCCUGCAGUGGGUACGGGCUGACUAGAGUGCGGUAGGGGAGACUGGAAUUCCUGGUGUAGCGGUGAAAUGCGUAGAUAUCAGGAGGAACACCCGUGGCGAAGGCGGGUCUCUGGGCCGUAACUGACGCUGAGGAGCGAAAGCAUGGGGAGCGAACAGG
rnacentral:rRNA from 1 species